UAUUAAAAGUGUGUUUUUAUCCUUGUCUCUUAACCCUAAGACGGAUUAAGUUGGCAGCUGGAAGCAUCUGCUUCUCCGCGGUUUGGUUGCUCCCCCUGGUUGGGUGUCUGUACUCUGUAUAUACCAAGUCUUGACGUCAACGAUGACAUCAUCAAUCCCCUGAUUUUUGAUUUUUUCGUCGUUGUUUUGCUUGCAUAUGCUGUCAAGAAGCGCUUCAUCCCCCGUGAGUUUCUUGAACUUCAUUCAUUCCCCUUUCCCGUCUAGUCCUCCGGACAAGCUUUAACUAAUUCUAAGGUUUUGGGUCGUACGCCAAAGCAAAAAGAAAGCAAAAAGCUUCAGCUUUGAGGCGGUAGUCAUUUUGGCAUCCAAUAGAUGAAUCGUUGUUGGCGGGUUUUCUCUUUCUUUGCCCCCUUUUUUUUUUUUUAUAAGAAACGAUGAAUGUAGAUUGAUAAUAUGGAUCCAAGCACUCAUCUUUCUUUAAUUUUGAGUCACUUCUGUCGAUUGUUCAUUGUUAUAUGCUGGGUCCCGAAUUGUGGUUUAGUUGGUAUGAACAGAAACUUGGAGCUUUUAUGUGAAUUUACAGGAGGCAAUAGUUUAUAAUAUAUGUGCAUACAUUGGAUACUGGUAGUUCGUACAUUAGCAAAAGCUGUUUACUAUAGUGUACAAGUUUCAUCAAGAACUGUAGACAAAAGCAGCAAAAGCUGGUAUGUACAUUAGCAAAAGGUGAUCAUUGACAAAAAUAGGUGACUUUAUGACACUAAACUGAUCUCAAAAGCUGAUGCAAAACAUAGGAAUGGUGCAUGAUUUUAGUCGAUUAUUUGGUGCUUUGGCUGGUCAGUGAUUGUUGCUGGUGGAUCUCUUUUCUUAGUUGCUGUAGCUUGUGCGAUGGUUGGAUUGGUUGUGUCUUUGCUUGAAUCUUCAGUUGCAAUUUGUUGAUCAGGUAGGUUUGAUGAUGAGGCUUCAUUGGUUGCUGGUGCAGGGGUCUGUGUAGGAUCUUCAAUUGGUAGACAAGCGAGGAUGUUGUACUUUGCUACAAUUGUGUUUUGUAGAGGAUGAGUGAAUUUCCUGACUUGAAAACGAAAUGUGCUCAUAUGGAGCUUUAUAUUGAUGUCUGCAAUAUCUGGAAUUUGGUUCUGUGGACAUUGGUUUCUGAAUGAGUAUGUCUUUGGUUUGGUAUAUGAAUAGUGUGAAUAAAUUUGUAUUCUAUAAAAAGUAAUGUUGUUAAUGUUCAAAAUUACCUUUAGUGUCAUGUAGAGUAUGUCUUCAGCAGAGAUGUUGAGAAUGUGUUGAGCAUGCUGGUCUUCAAUUUGUGCAGUAAUUGUUCCAGUAGUAUCAGACAGUUGCACUAAGAACUUGAGCCUGCAUUAAGUAUUAUGGUUUUGUUAUGUUAUGAUAAGAAGAAUGUUAUGAAUUUUAGUGUGUAAAUAUGUUUAUGGAUUUACCUUGGCAGUGGUUUUGCAAAUGUCAUGUUGCAAUGACGGCAUAAGAAGUUGAAAUUUGCUUGAGCUCCAGUUUGUUUCUUGCAAUUAGAAGCUGGACAGGUAAGGAUGUAGAGUCGAUGUUGAGGCUGAACUAUCUUUGCUUUGGCUUUGAUCCAGAAUGGCUUUGCCUGUAAGAUUUCAUGUGGUUAAAUAUUAGAUUUUGUUGUGAUAGUAUUUGUUAUCGAAUAUAUUGUAUUUUGUACUGAUAAAUGUAGUAGUUGUACCAGAUAAGGAGUAUUUAGUGCAUAGCUGAUGUCGUGCAUAUGUUCUUCAGGAGGAGGUUGGACUGUUUGAUGAGUUGCAUCAUAAAGUUUUUUUGCUAAAACUUGCUCAAUAUAAGGUCUGCUUGCUUUGGUCCUGUUAUAUUGUAUAGGAUGGUGUCAGAUUUUGGUUAUAAUGUGCCUAACGAAUAAGUAAAUAUUGACUUUAUCAACUUACCAACUUUUGAGUUCUAGUGCUUGAGGGAUUUGUGGAUCAAACAAGAUAGCACUCAUUGUUUGUGUCUCGACAGAUAAAACUGUUAUAUGAUUAUUUGAAAAAUUAGUACUAUAUUCUGUAAAGCAGAUAAUAUACUUGACUUUUGUAAGUUUAUAUGAAUUAGGGACAGAUUGACAUACCAUGUACUGAAGUCACUUUGGCUCUUGUUAUAAUCAAUGUCGGGGAUUGAUUUAAGAUCCUCAGAAGGUAUUGUGCUUCAAUGUCAAUGAAUUUUGGCCACAUUGUAAGUAUCAUUGGCUUUUGUCUGCAUCAGUUAUCAAUAGUUAAUAUGAGUUUUGUGUUGUAUUGCACUUUAUUAAUUUGCAUUGUUUUUAUACUUACUCUUGAUUUAGGAUGAUGAAUUCUUGAAUUGGAUAAUCGCCUCUUUGUCGUGCAAUGAAGCGACGGGGAAGAGCUCCAAUGACAGUGCAUAGCAGAGCUGAGACAAGAGCAUUAGGUAUUAGUAUUGAUAUGUAAGAAUCAUUGUAGUAACAAUGUAAUGAAAAUUAUUAAAGUGAAGUAGUACUUAUCGGAUUUGUAUUUGUAUCCAUGUACUUAUAGAAGUCUCUGAAUGGUGUAAAAUUGUAGCACUGAUCGAUAGGAUACUGGUUUUCUUGAUCUGCUUCUUUGAUGAAUGUACCUCUGGUCAAG
rnacentral:lncRNA from 1 species